GCAAGUCGAGGGGCAGCACGGUGUAGCAAUACACUGGUGGCGACCGGCGCACGGGUGCGUAACGCGUAUGCAACCUACCCAUAACAGGGGGAUAACACUGAGAAAUUGGUACUAAUACCCCAUAACAUCAGGACCGGCAUCGGUUCUGGUUGAAAACUCCGGUGGUUAUGGAUGGGCAUGCGUUGUAUUAGCUGGUUGGUGAGGUAACGGCUCACCAAGGCAACGAUACAUAGGGGGACUGAGAGGUUAACCCCCCACAUUGGUACUGAGACACGGACCAAACUCCUACGGGAGGCAGCAGUGAGGAAUAUUGGUCAAUGGACGCAAGUCUGAACCAGCCAUGCCGCGUGCAGGAAGACGGCUCUAUGAGUUGUAAACUGCUUUUGUACGAGAGUAAACGCUCUUACGUGUAAGAGCCUGAAAGUAUCGUACGAAUAAGGAUCGGCUAACUCCGUGCCAGCAGCCGCGGUAAUACGGAGGAUCCAAGCGUUAUCCGGAUUUAUUGGGUUUAAAGGGUGCGUAGGCGGUUUGAUAAGUUAGAGGUGAAAUACCGGUGCUUAACACCGGAACUGCCUCUAAUACUGUUGAACUAGAGAGUAGUUGCGGUAGGCGGAAUGUAUGGUGUAGCGGUGAAAUGCUUAGAGAUCAUACAGAACACCGAUUGCGAAGGCAGCUUAUCAAACUAUAUCUGACGUUGAGGCACGAAAGCGUGGGGAGCAAACAGGAUUAGAUACCCUGGUAGUCCACGCAGUAAACGAUGAUAACUCGCUGUCGGCGAUACACAGUCGGCGGCUAAGCGAAAGCGAUAAGUUAUCCACCUGG
rnacentral:rRNA from 1 species